UCAGGACGAACGCUGGCGGCGUGCUUAACACAUGCAAGUCGAACGAUGAAGCCCUUCGGGGUGGAUUAGUGGCGAACGGGUGAGUAACACGUGGGCAAUCUGCCCUUCACUCUGGGACAAGCCCUGGAAACGGGGUCUAAUACCGGAUAACACUCCUACAGGCAUCUGUGGGGGUUAAAAGCUCCGGCGGUGAAGGAUGAGCCCGCGGCCUAUCAGCUUGUUGGUGAGGUAGUGGCUCACCAAGGCGACGACGGGUAGCCGGCCUGAGAGGGCGACCGGCCACACUGGGACUGAGACACGGCCCAGACUCCUACGGGAGGCAGCAGUGGGGAAUAUUGCACAAUGGGCGAAAGCCUGAUGCAGCGACGCCGCGUGAGGGAUGACGGCCUUCGGGUUGUAAACCUCUUUCAGCAGGGAAGAAGCGAGAGUGACGGUACCUGCAGAAGAAGCGCCGGCUAACUACGUGCCAGCAGCCGCGGUAAUACGUAGGGCGCAAGCGUUGUCCGGAAUUAUUGGGCGUAAAGAGCUCGUAGGCGGCUUGUCACGUCGGGUGUGAAAGCCCGGGGCUUAACCCCGGGUCUGCAUUCGAUACGGGCUAGCUAGAGUGUGGUAGGGGAGAUCGGAAUUCCUGGUGUAGCGGUGAAAUGCGCAGAUAUCAGGAGGAACACCGGUGGCGAAGGCGGAUCUCUGGGCCAUUACUGACGCUGAGGAGCGAAAGCGUGGGGAGCGAACAGGAUUAGAUACCCUGGUAGUCCACGCCGUAAACGGUNANNGNUAGGUGUUGGCGAC
rnacentral:rRNA from 1 species